CCCAACCUCCCACCCGUGUCUAUCGUACCUUGUUGCUUCGGCGGGCCCGCCGUUUCGACGCCGCCGGGGAGGCCCUGCGCCCCCGGGCCCGCGCCCGCCGAAGACCCCAACAUGAACGCUGUGCUGAAAGUAUGCAGUCUGAGUUGAUUAUCGUAAUCAGUUAAAACUUUCAACAACGGCUCUUGGUUCCGGCAUCGAUGAAGAACGCAGCGAAAUGCGAUAAGUAAUGUGAAUUGCAGAAUUCAGUGAAUCAUCGAGUCUUUGAACGCACAUUGCGCCCCCUGGUAUUCCGGGGGGCAUGCCUGUCCGAGCGUCAUUGCUGCCCUCAAGCACGGCUUGUGUGUUGGGCCCCCGUCCCCCUCUCCCGGGGGACGGGCCCGAAAGGCAGCGGCGGCACCGCGUCCGGUCCUCGAGCGUAUGGGGCUUUGUCACCUGCUCUGUAGGCCCGGCCGGCGCCAGCCGACACCCAACUUUAUUUUUCUAAGGUUGACCUCGGAUCAGGUAGGGAUACCCGCUGAACUUAAGCAUAUCAAUAAG
rnacentral:rRNA from 1 species